rnacentral:rRNA from 1 species
GAUGAACGCUGGCGGCGUGCCUAAUACAUGCAAGUCGAGCGAACGGACGAGAAGCUUGCUUCUCUGAUGUUAGCGGCGGACGGGUGAGUAACACGUGGAUAACCUACCUAUAAGACUGGGAUAACUUCGGGAAACCGGAGCUAAUACCGGAUAAUAUUUUGAACCGCAUGGUUCAAAAGUGAAAGACGGUCUUGCUGUCACUUAUAGAUGGAUCCGCGCUGCAUUAGCUAGUUGGUAAGGUAACGGCUUACCAAGGCAACGAUGCAUAGCCGACCUGAGAGGGUGAUCGGCCACACUGGAACUGAGACACGGUCCAGACUCCUACGGGAGGCAGCAGUAGGGAAUCUUCCGCAAUGGGCGAAAGCCUGACGGAGCAACGCCGCGUGAGUGAUGAAGGUCUUCGGAUCGUAAAACUCUGUUAUUAGGGAAGAACAUAUGUGUAAGUAACUGUGCACAUCUUGACGGUACCUAAUCAGAAAGCCACGGCUAACUACGUGCCAGCAGCCGCGGUAAUACGUAGGUGGCAAGCGUUAUCCGGAAUUAUUGGGCGUAAAGCGCGCGUAGGCGGUUUUUUAAGUCUGAUGUGAAAGCCCACGGCUCAACCGUGGAGGGUCAUUGGAAACUGGAAAACUUGAGUGCAGAAGAGGAAAGUGGAAUUCCAUGUGUAGCGGUGAAAUGCGCAGAGAUAUGGAGGAACACCAGUGGCGAAGGCGACUUUCUGGUCUGUAACUGACGCUGAUGUGCGAAAGCGUGGGGAUCAAACAGGAUUAGAUACCCUGGUAGUCCACGCCGUAAACGAUGAGUGCUAAGUGUUAGGGGGUUUCCGCCCCUUAGUGCUGCAGCUAACGCAUUAAGCACUCCGCCUGGGGAGUACGACCGCAAGGUUGAAACUCAAAGGAAUUGACGGGGACCCGCACAAGCGGUGGAGCAUGUGGUUUAAUUCGAAGCAACGCGAAGAACCUUACCAAAUCUUGACAUCCUUUGACAACUCUAGAGAUAGAGCCUUCCCCUUCGGGGGGGCAAAGUGACAGGUGGUGCAUGGUUGUCGUCAGCUCGUGUCGUGAGAUGUUGGGUUAAGCCCCGCAACGAGCGCAACCCUUAAGCUUAGUUGCCAUCAUUAAGUUGGGCACUCUAAGUUGACUGCCGGUGACAAACCGGAGGAAGGUGGGGAUGACGUCAAAUCAUCAUGCCCCUUAUGAUUUGGGCUACACACGUGCUACAAUGGACAAUACAAAGGGCAGCGAAACCGCGAGGUCAAGCAAAUCCCAUAAAGUUGUUCUCAGUUCGGAUUGUAGUCUGCAACUCGACUACAUGAAGCUGGAAUCGCUAGUAAUCGUAGAUCAGCAUGCUACGGUGAAUACGUUCCCGGGUCU